rnacentral:tRNA from 1 species
CUCGAUAGCUUAGUUGGCAAAGUGCUCGUCUAGUAUACAAGUGUCCUGGGUUCGAAUGCCAGCCGAG